CCAAAACUGGACACAGUACUCAAGGUGCGGCCUCACCAGUGCUGAGUACAGGGGGACAAUUACUUCCCUGUUCCUACUGGCAACACUGUUUCUGAUGCAAGCCAGGAUGCCACUGGCCUUCUUGGCCACCUGGGCACACUGCUGGCUCAUGUUCAGUUGAGCAUCAAUCAAUAUCCCCGGGUCCAUUUCCACUACACAGUCUUCCAGACACUCUGCCCCAAGCCUGUAGUGUUGCCUGGGGUUGUUGUGGCCAAAGUACAGGACACGGCAUUUGGUCUUGUUGAAUCCCAUCCCAUUGGCUUCAGCCCAGCUAUCCAGCCUGUCCAGAUCCCUCUGCAGGGCCUCGCUACCUCCAGGCAGAUUGAUACUUCCAGCCAGCUUGGUGUCAUCUGCAAACUUACUGAGGGUGCACUCAAUGCCCUCAUCCAGGUCAUCAAUAAAGAUAUUAAACAGGACAGGCCCCAGCACCAACCCCUGGAGAACACCACUC
ensembl:lncRNA